rnacentral:rRNA from 1 species
AAGCUCGUAGUGAAUUUCGGCCUUGGGUGGUUUGGUUUGGCCUUCAUUGGUCAAUGCCUUUUCCGCCUAGGUCUUACCUUCUGGGUUAGCUAGUGUCACUUCGGUGGCGCUAGUGAACCAGAACUUUUACUUUGAAAAAAUUGGAGUGUUUAAAGCAGGCUUUCAAGCCUGAACAUAUUAGCAUGGAAUAAUGAAAUAGGACUUUGGCCUUAUUCGUUGGUUUCUAAAGCCAAAGUAAUGAUUAAUAGGGAUAGUUGG